UGCUGCGACUUGUUUCCCUUAGAGAAGGAGUAUAUUGAUCGCGGAUUCCGGAAGAAGUUCGGCGUUCCUUAUAAUUUAGGGCUGUUGGUGAUCCGACCUAAAGGACAUGGAGAUAUUUGCAUUGUUGAUGGUGCGGAGUCUGGGAGAGGAGUGCUUCAGGAUGAUAUUUUUACUACUUCUCUCCAAUUAUUGAAUGCAGAAUAAUUUAAUUUGAAUUGCCUCCUCAAUUUAUUUCCAUUACAAAAAUCCUGUGAGAUAGGCUAGGCUGAGAGAUGAAGAUUGUUCCAAAAUCACUCAGUGAGCUGAGAGACGACUUGAAUUUGGGCCUAACAUCUUAAUAACAACAUUUUGCUGACUGCUAAACAGGACCAAAGCAUUUGGCCAAUUCUAGCAGUGCUCUGUGGAACGGCAGAUAGUGACACUUGCAGCCAACAGGUUAUCAGCCUGUGAGAAAUAUGACACAUCCCAAGGAAAUUUUGUCUUCUCCUAUCAGCCACCCACUGCCUCCUUUGUCCCUAUUAAGAGCGGUCACCUGCUGCCUUUCCUGUGAAGAUGGUACAUACGAGAUUGGCAGAAAUUGGCCAACCAGGCUCCAUUCAGAAUGCUUGUAAAAAUCAAGGUAUCUUUCCCAAAUCCCAACUCAAAUGUUUUAGAAAACACACUUGUUAAAAUUGGUUUUGAAAUAAAAAGACACCCAUGUUUUCACAAA